UACGUAGGGUGCAAGCGUUGUCCGGAAUUAUUGGGCGUAAAGAGCUCGUAGGCGGCUCGUUGCGUCGGCUGUGAAAACCCGCAGCUCAACUGUGGGCUUGCAGCCGAUACGGGCGGGCUGGAGUUCGGUAGGGGAGACUGGAAUUCCUGGUGUAGCGGUGAAAAUGCGCAGAUAUCAGGAGGAACACCGGUGGCGAAGGCGGGUCUCUGGGCCGAUACUGACGCUGAGGAGCGAAAGCGUGGGGAGCGAACAGG
rnacentral:rRNA from 1 species